rnacentral:lncRNA from 1 species
GGGGGCUAUAAUCGGAUGUUUACGGUAUUUGACUGGUCAGUUGUAAGAAUCUGUACAUGUAAUAUGAGUCGCGAUUAAAAUGAACCAGUCGCAAAAUGAAGUGUAGAAAGUUUCGUGCAUAAAAGAGCGAAUGAAUGAUGCUUUAUAAGUGUGAUAUAACAGACGAUUUGAUUGGCUAAUGCGCGUGCAUUGUGACGCAAUAAUGCACUGUGAUCUGUGGCACUGCCUUGCUCUUUCCCUGUUUUUCCCCCUCUUCAUCACUGGUUUUUAGCCAAAAAUAUAAAAACUAUAGAGCUUUUAAAAUACAAGAUUUACCAGAAAGCAAGAAGGAAUAGAUCAAAGGAACAAAGCAAUUUUCUAUAGUUCUACGUGUAAAAUUAACCAGCUUGGCAUUCGUCGAAUUUUACCCAAAACUUGUCUCGAUAAGUUUUGGGUAAAAGCGUACAAAAUAGUCCAGAAAACAUUUUGAAAAAGAUACAGGAAGACCAAAUACAUACAAAAUGGCAACAAGAACUGAAACUAAGUGAUCUAGAAAGUACCUUCAAUUCUUCUGAUAAUAAUUGCUAGAUAUAUUUUCGGUGAAAGACAAAAAAUACAAUUUUCGAAAAUUAUAAAAACUGAGUAUAAACCACAGGCAUCCCAAGCUCACCUGUCGUUGUUGGGGUAUAUUUGUAUUUUUAUAUUAGUUUACUAUUACAGAAUAUAUAUUGUCAAAAAAUGCUAAAAUAUUGUGUUAAAUUAAGAAAUAAGAUUGAUUAUCACUACUACAAUGUGUAAUUGACUUUUCUGGGUUGAUUUGAGGUGAUUCAAUCUGCUUGAGAUACGAAUACUUAAUAAGGAUAAAAAAUAGCAACAUGAGCUCCACCUUUGAAUUUACUACAGUAUACGAGUAAAUUCUUAAACACGUCAGAAUUUAUCAAUAUAAUAAAUUCGCGGCACAUUUUGAAUUUAUCAAUAGAGUUAAUAGUAAAAGCACAAGCAUUAGACAAGACUUUUUGUUAUAAAUGUAAUGUCAAUAAAAGGGAGGCCGGGCCGCGCCGGGGUAGGUAGAUUUUCAAGAUUUUUAAAAAAGUUUUAAAAAAGUUUUAAAAAAGCAAAAAAAAAGAUUAAAAAGUUAGAUUUUCAAAAAAUUUUAAAAAGUUAGAUUAGGGUUAGUGGUUAGGAGUUAGGGUUUGGGGUUAGUGUUAAGGUGGUCUUAUACCUUCAUUUUUGGAAAAAUUCAUUUUUUCAAAAUAGCUAAAUUUUAUUUUCGUUAGCUAAAUUUUAUAAACGUUAUUUUCCUUCUAUGAGUUGUGGAAGGUGGUUAAAUAUCAAGCAAAAGGAACCCGUUCCUUUAAUUGCCACUUAGCAACUGCUUUAACAACGCUUUUGUUGUCCUGAAAUUCACACAAAUGGUUUAAGUCCACCAAAUGUUUUGAAUAAUUUUUCUAACCCACUCCCCCCUCAGUAGAUUUGUAUUUAGGAGUUUUUGACAUAUAUUACAUGAAGUAUACGCUCUUGAAAUGCAAGGGUAGUGGGCAUUAACUAUUUCGCUGACCUCAGAAUGACAUUUCGUCAAAACUUUUUUCUUCAAGAUUGGUUUAGAAACAAAUUUGGAGUAUGGUUAGGUUAGGUUAGGGUAAG